UUUAUUUUGAGUGGAGAGUCAAGUCUUUUCAUCUACUGUGUGACAUCUCAAUUCUGAGAGAAUGAUCUCAUGAGGCACUGGGAGGCUUUGUAGUUCGCUCCACCCUUUCUGAUUUUGUGAGACGUUCUCCAGCAUACCAACUGCAACAGAAAAAAAAUACAGAUAAGGGUGCUUGCAGAACUUCCUUCAACAACUGAUGGAAAAGACUUCUGACUAUCACAGACUGUGUGAAAAGUUGUAGAGGGGUUUAGGUUGUUGCGUUCGUGCUGUAACGGGGCAAGGCUUGGCCGAGCACGGGAAAAGAUUUCCUGUUGCUCUGAUGUUUGCUUAAGAAUUGUAGAAGAAAGUAUUAGGAAUAGUGUGCUGAAAUAUAUUUAGGAUUAGGCGUUUUGCACUGCUUUGCGAUGUACAGGUUAGGCGUGUGUGUAAGUAGUAUUUAGCUUAGGGAGGGGGAGAUGUUGUAGUAGGCGUCUUGCGGGGGCACAGGAUGUAUGGGACAGGCCUCUCCCUAAGCACAGAGAGACAGUGCUAUCGUGCUGACCUUGAUGCAGAGAAAACAGAAGAAGAAGAAGGAUGAGAAAAGAAUGUGGAAACGGCCAAAUAAGGCACAAUGUUAUCUGGUGUGAACCAAUCAGAGUGGGACAUGACAGCACGGUUAUGUAGGUAAAAUGUAUAUAAGCUGUGUUUAGCAGUGAAUAAAUGCCAUUUUGCUGCUCAUCAUAUUGGUGUGCGUCUGCAGUCGUUUGGCCCUGAUCAGGUUAUUGGUCAGUGAGCGCAGAGGCCUAACACAGGUGGCUAACAUCAUUGUUGCAGAAAGCAACAACAUUUGGGAUGGAGUUUGUGGCAUGAUUUCUGCAAGUAGCAACUGGGGAAGUAACUCAUCAUUUCAAUUAAAUAUAAUUUCAAAUAACUUUGUGGAUCAUCACUGGCCAUCAUCCAUCUUAAGCAGAGCUCAGAGAUGACAGAAUCUUGUGAAAUUUCCAUUUUAUAACUUAUCCCUGAGAUGUGAAAUCCACCACGAAUCCCCUUUGCUUCCUCUUCCAAAGCUUGCAGAAAGACUGUCCAAAGCUUGCAGAAAGAAAGCAAUGAAAGACUAAGAGAGUGAUCAAGAUUUAGAUCACAGCUUGCCUCUGCUCUAGUGUUGUGUAUGUCCCCAAGAUGCUGAAAUGCAGGAGUGGUCUCUGCCAAUGGAUCUGUGAAUUGUCUUUUUCUGUCACACUAUAGAAUCUUUUCUCAUA
ensembl:lncRNA